rnacentral:rRNA from 1 species
CCCUUAGAUGUUCUGGGCCGCACGCGCGCUACACUGAUGCAUUCAACGAGUCCAACCUUGACCGAGAGGUCCGGGUAAUCUUUGAAACUGCAUCGUGAUGGGGCUAGGUUAUUGCAAUUAUUAAUCUUCAACGAGGAAUGCCUAGUAAGCGUGAUUCAUCAAAUCGCGUUGAUUACGUCCCUGCCCUUUGUACACACCGCCCGUCGCUCCUACCGAUUGAGUGUGUUGGUGAGGAGUUUGGAUUGGCCUCGGAAGGUGGUUCGCCACCGUCCGUAGCUGAGAAGUUCUCCAAACCGCCCCACUUAGAGGAAGGAGAAGUCGUAACA